GGGGACCUGUCAUGCUCCAACCAAUUUAUGCUCAUUCAAUUGAGCAGCUUUGCUAGCAAAUGUAUAGAUUGGGAGAAAAAGCUAUUUAAAAUAUAUUUUUUAACUAGCUGUCAGUCAAUGCCUUGGCGUGCUUCAAGCAGGGAGUAUAGGAACAGAGUGAUUUUUCACAUAACAGAGGAAGGCCCAGGUUUUGUAGAUUUAUCGCAGCUUCUUGCAGAUCGUGUAUUUUGUACGUUGUGUCCGCACACACAGGAGGGAGGUAAGUGGUCGAAAAGAUCGUCUCCACACCAGAGUGCCUCUGGAAAUGUCUGUAUAGAAGGUCAAUGACAUUCCUGCAAAAAGAUAAGAUGAUCGCCUCCUGGUGGCAGCCAGGACUGCUGCUUUAUCUUGGUUUUAUCAUGGUUUUGAAACUGGACCACCAGAUCUCGUGGGGCUAAAGGUGGUGCCUUGGCUGGUCUUGGAACUCUAUAUAUUCUAUCCAGCGUAACCGCCUUGGCCAGUUUCAGCGUCAACAAAGCCCCAAGGAGGCAUCUGGCAAAGUGUGGAAAUUAAUUCCCAAGAUUAUUAAGAUAUCCUACACUUUGCCAGAUGCCACAUAUUCUCUGAGAUCCCCUUGCUUUUCAGGUGUUUCUGGUGUCGCCUAUCCGCCUGGGCAGGAAAUCUGUGCUUAUAGGUUUGGUUCUGCUAUUGCAGCUCUUUGACUGCUUGUUGUAGCGUUGUAAUCUACUGUGCAUUAUUGUGGGAUGUGCCUUCUAACACACCGAGUCGGCCAGUUAGGCCCCGUAGGUCUCUUUUUUUGUUGUAGGUCAGACAGGAGCUCCUUAAUAGCUGCUUUUGUCACCGGAGUCGGUUGCUGGCAGUAAAAGCUGCAUUCGGGUCAGCAGUGGAAGUACCAUAAAAAUCAAAUGUUCCUCCUUUGCUUCGUCUGACAUCCCGUCUAAGAAGUCUAAACAGCCUCCAGUAAGAGACGUCAUCUUGUGCCCAGGAGUACCGUGGGUCUGCAAAUAU